UUAAUAUUUAAUAUAUAAAUCUAAGUAUAAUCUAACCCUAAAUCUAUUCUUCCCUAAUCAGUCGUAUUCAAAUCGCCGCUCUAAUCUCAGUCUCACUCUCCGGUCUCCACAGUCACAGACUCACAGUCUCCGACCCUCUAAUCUUCGGCUCCGCUCUCUAAUCUCCGACACACAUAUCGCCGCUGUCUCUAGUCUUCAAUCUUCGGACGGUCUUCAAUCUUCGUACGGUCUUCAAUAGUUCUUCAAUCUGCAACAACAAGCUGCAAGAGAUGAAGAAAAAUUGGAAAUUGAUGUGUUGACUCCAGAUGGGUCUGGGUCUGAUAAUAAAUGAAAGGUUAUAUGUUGAUUUGAAGUUGAAUUUUGUGGAUGAAGAUGAACAAGUUUAAAGAAGAAGUUUAUGGCUUUUGAACUAAAUGACAAUUUGUAUUCGCACUUUAUUUUGUGUUGCUUUUGUAUUCGCACUUUAUUUUGUGUUUCUUAUGUAUUCGCACUUUAUUUUGUGUUGCUUUUGUAAUCGCACUUUAAGUUAGAAUUUGUUUUUGUUGAACGAA